GUAGUUGGCAAGCGUUGUCCGGAAUUAUUGGGCGUAAAGCGCGCGCAGGCGGGUCCUUUAAGUCUGAUGUGAAAGCCCACGGGCUCAACCGUGGAGGGUCAUUGGAAACUGGGGGACUUGAGUACAGAAGAGGAAAGCGGAAUUCCAAGUGUAGCGGUGAAAUGCGUAGAGAUUUGGAGGAACACCAGUGGCGAAGGCGGCUUUCUGGUCUGUAACUGACGCUGAGGCGCGAAAGCGUGGGGAGCAAACAGGAUUAGAUACCCUGGUAGUCCACGCCGUAAACGAUGAGUGCUAAGUGUUAGGGGGUUUCCGCCCCUUAGUGCUGCAGCUAACGCAUUAAGCACUCCGCCUGGGGAGUACGGCCGCAAAGGCUG
rnacentral:rRNA from 1 species